rnacentral:rRNA from 1 species
UUUCCGGUUGAUCCUGCCGGACCCGACUGCUAUCAGAAUAGGACUAAGCCAUGCGAGUCAACGUAGCAAUACGUGGCAUACGGCUCAGUAACACGUAGUCAACAUGCCCAGAGGACGUGGAUAACCUCGGGAAACUGAGGCUAAACCGCGAUAGACCAAGAUACCUGGAAUGGUUUUUGAUUAAAAUCUAUAUGGCCUUUGGAUUGGACUGCGACCGAUCAGGCUGUUGGUGAGGUAAUGGCCCACCAAACCUGUAACCGGUACGGGCUCUGAGAGGAGGAGCCCGGAGAUGGGUACUGAGACAAGGACCCAGGCCCUAUGGGGCGCAGCAGGCGCGAAACCUCUGCAAUAGGCGAAAGCCUGACAGGGUUAUUCUGAGUGACUUUCGCUAAGAAAGUCUUUUGACACCUCCAAAAAUGGUGUAGAAUAAGGGGUGGGCAAGUCUGGUGUCAGCCGCCGCGGUAAUACCAGCACCCCGAGUGGUCGGGACGAUUAUUGGGCCUAAAGCAUCCGUAGCCGGUUUUACAAGUCCUCCGUUAAAUCCAACUGCUUAACAGAUGGGCCGCGGAGGAUACUAUAAGACUAGGAGGCAGGAG